ACUAUUUCUGUAGCGAUCACCGUAUGUUGUGGAAUUUCAGCCCGCUAGCGGGUUCCGUGCGCAGAGAGGUUAAGAACAAAUUCUUAUUUACAAUAAAGUCCUACCCCUGCCAAAAACAGACAACACUGGGUCAAUUGUGCACCGCCCUAUGGGACUCCCAUAUGCAGCCUGUAUUUGAACCAGAUACUGCAGUGAUGCCUCUUUCACUGAGAUGCACUGCCUACGGACUGAUAGUACUGCCUCUGAUUGGGAACCACACUCGGCCAACAACAAAGAAAUAGAAAACAUGUCAGAAAUACAAUAGGGACUGAUAGUUCUGAAGUACUUGUAUAGUACAAUAGGGACUAUAGUACUGAAGUACUAGUAUAAUACAUUAGCAAUUGAUAGUCCUGUGUUACGAAUGUAAGAAUAUUUUGAAGAUAAAUACACAACGCAGAGACAGAGGACGAGAGGUCAAUAGAGUACUGAUGAAUGGAAAUAGAGCUUUUAAUGUAUAUGUCUUCUGAAAUAGGAUAUUUGUUAUUUGGCCAUUGGCCCAGUUUUAUUGCAAGGAAUUCUAAUUGGUCAACCACAGGCUAGGGCUGGGCUAUAAACUACAUCCUGGCCCUUUGUUCUGUGGAGAGAAUCACAGGAGAGAAUCACUGAGGACAGGGAAAAAAUGGUCAUCUACCUCAGCAUAAUAUCUAUGAGUUAUCCUCUUUGAAUAAACCUAUUUUCCUCCCCCUGAUUUGCUUUGGGGUUUGUGUAAUUGAAGAGUAAAUCAACUGCUAAAAUGAGUAAAUCCAUUGAAGAACACUGAUAAUUCUGUAUUUACAUUAUGAGGUAUUUGAAAUAUGAAAAUAUUUUGGUAACAUAAUCUGUAUCGGUAUAAUCUGUAUCAUAGUUAACAGAUAUGAAUGUGGGUCCUUACCAGUAAGGCUAUUUACAUAGAACACUUUGCAUUAGCAGCACACACUUCAGUGCUCUGGGAGUGUUUAUAGCCCUGUGAGUUAACACUUCAUGACUGAGAGCUGUCCUUCAUAACAACAGAACUUCAACAAUGACUUUCAUCAUGAGCUUUGUGUGGAUAUUGAUGUUCUUUAUUCAAGAAUCCAGAGGACAGUACACUGUGACUCAGGCUCCUACAGAGGAAACUGUUCUCCCAGGACAGACAGUCUCUCUGAAGUGUAAAACCAGCAGUAAUGUGUGUUAUGUAAAUGCCAAAUAUCCAGUACUAGCCUGGUACCACCAGAAACCUGGAGGAGCUCAUAAACUCCUUAUUUCCCUUGCUAAAACCCUUCAGCCUGGGACUCCAUCUAGAUUCAGUGGUAGUGGAUCUCAGAGAUCUCAUGGAUCUCAUCUCAGGAUGGACCUGAGCCCUAGGACCAUGCCCCAGGACUACCUGACAUGAUGACUCCUU